CUUAGUUUAUGUUGGUGUAUAUCUGGUUUGAUAUUAUUGCUUUAAUAGCUUAAUUUGUGUAUAAUAGCUAAUUAAGCCAAGUCUAUGUGCUGCUUAUCUAAGUUUUCAUGCGUUACAGUAAUAAUAUUAAAUUUGUAAGAAUUUAAAUUUUAGGACUUGAUAGUAAUAUAAAAUUAUUUUGUUUAUGUGAAAAUGGUUUAGCUUGGGUACACACCGCCCGUCAA
rnacentral:rRNA from 1 species